CCCCUCCAGAGAUGAAUGUUGUCGACCGCUCGCUUCUCUAGUUAUACCAACUUUAGUAACGACCGCAGGAUAGAAAUACAGAGAGCCACGCCCUCAACCAAAACGCCACUCUAUAGCCACAAAUAAUGCUCAGAACAGCACCUAACUUCAUCAACAGGACAUAUAGGGUCACAGACAUAGUACUAGACACCAAACAUCUUUUUAACUUUGACUCAUUUCUUUAGCAAAGAGACUAAACACAACUCACCUACUCUCUUCCAGCAGACGCUUGUUUGUAGUGAGACCUCAGGCCAGUCCAUUACAGACUACAGCGGGGUGCCGCAGCUCAAGGAAGAACAUUUAUGAUCAUUUCUUCAUGGAAAUACAAUCAGACCGAGACGCUAAGACAGAAGAACUACAGCGUCUGUAAAAUGAUUAAUAUGGUGAUUAUUACUUCAAGGAAAUGAUAAAGAAAUGAUCAAAAAUGUUCUUCCUUGAGUUGCGGCACCCCGCUGUAGUCCGUAAUGGACUGGCCUUUGGUCUUUGGUCUGGUUGAGGUUUGUUUAUGGCUCCUCAGACCUCUCUGUAUUUCUAUCCUGCGGUCGUUACUAAAGUUGGUAUAACUAGAGAAGAAAGCGGUC